ACGGGGAGCAGCAGGCGCGAAACCUUUACACUGCACGCGAGUGCGAUAAGGGGACUCCGAGUGCGAGGGCAUAUAGUCCUCGCUUUUCACGACCGUAAGGUGGUCGUAGAAUAAGUGCUGGGCAAGACCGGUGCCAGCCGCCGCGGUAAUACCGGCAGCACGAGUGAUGACCGCUAUUAUUGGGCCUAAAGCGUCCGUAGCUGGCCACGCAAGUCUAUCGGGAAAUCCGCGCGCUUAACGCGCGGGCGUCCGGUGGAAACUGCGUGGCUUGGGACCGGAAGACCAGAGGGGUACGUCCGGGGUAGGAGUGAAAUCCCGUAAUCCUGGACGGACCACCGGUGGCGAAAGCGCCUCUGGAAGACGGAUCCGACGGUGAGGGACGAAAGCUCGGGUCACGAACCGGAUUAGAUACCCGGGUAGUCCGAGCUGUAAACGAUGUCUGCUAGGUGUGGCACAGGCUACGAGCCUGUGCUGUGCCGUAGGGAAGCCGUGAAGCAGACCGCCUGGGAAGUACGUCCGCAAGGAUGAAACUUAAAGGAAUUGACGG
rnacentral:rRNA from 1 species